UAAUGCGUGAAAUAGUGUUAUUGUCAAAUACUGUUAUUUGAUGUGUAUCUUUUUUGACAUGCAAAGACCCAAACGGCUUUCCAUAGAAUGUCUUGAAGCUAAUAGCAGUGAAGCUAUUACUGUGUAGCUCCAGUAGGGCAACAUCUGAACAAUAGCGCACUUGGUAACGUUAGUGUGUACCAGUGCUCGACCAGUCGCGAAACCAACAUCACCCACGAAAGAGAAUGGUUGAUUGUCAAGGGCAAUGAAUUCCAGUAUCUUGGCAUUAAUGGAUUUCGCUUUUGACGUGUCUCGCUGAAAUUUUCUUGCUCUUUCAAAUGACUGCUCAACUUGAUGACUGCUCGAUCCACACAGCAGACAUUGUGGGUUAGGAAUGCUGUGUUGCACAUGUAGCGCAAAAUGUUAUGGGGCGUCAUUACGUCAUGUCCCUACUUAUUUAGGUGUGCACGUCAGCUUUGACAUCGGUUUUUCACAUCGGCGUUAAACUACAUAUCGGUCUGAUACCGAUGUUGGCAUUUUUAGAUGAUAUCAGCCGAUUCGGAUAUGUUCAUCGAUAUAUCGUGCAUCCCUAAACGUUAUAUCGCUAUUUUGACAUGCAUUGGCAAGAGACAUGCUGUUAUUAUGCAACCUAUGGAUUACAGAAUAAAAUUAGGAAUUGUCAUGCGAGACACGAUUUUGGGUUUCAGUGGGAUUGGGACUGGAUAGGAAAAUAGCCUAGGCUAGAAUUUUCCCUUAUGCCUCUGAAUUGUUAACAAACUUCAUGUCUGUGACAGAGAUGCCUAUGUAGUGAAUUGUGCAUAGGCCUAUCAAAUGUGUGACUGUCUGAAGAUUCACAAUGACAGCUCGCCUAGCCUGUAGGUCUACUGUAGGGGUUUCCUGUCGGGUUUAUUGACUAGAUUCGGGUUGCGUGUGCAGCCCGGCGGUGUCAAUCAUACGUGCGCUUUGAAUUUAUGACGACUUUGUGUGAAGUACAUAAUCUAGGCUAAAGGCUUCCAUGAUAUAACCUGUUUGGAUAGUGUGCUAUUAAAUGUUUUGCUAAUCUGAUGCUGCACAUGAAAGGGAAAGGAUACCUAGUCAGUUGUACAACUGAAUGCCGUCAACCGAAAUGUGUGUUCUUCAUUUAACCCAACCCCUCUGAACCCAACCCCUCUGCCUUAAUUGAUGUCCAUGUCAUAGGCACCUGGGGAGCAGUUGUUGUUGGGAGUUAACUGUAGGGCCUGCAUUAGUGCGACAUUGGGGGAAAAUGUUGUAAUUUCCCGGGUCUUGUCAUUUAAUUUUUGGGGGAAAUGUGAAGAGUGAUCCCGGGACAGUCCCGGGAUCCAUGUUACCCAUGUUAAUUCCUAGUCAUGAAUAUGUUGGUCCACUGUUGAUGAUGUCAUGAGUAUAUUGGUCCACUUUGAUGAUGUCUGAAUCUAUUGACCCACUGCUGAUGACGUCAUGAGUAUGUUGGUCCACUGUAAUAUGUGUUGUGUUGUUUGAUUGGCAGGCGUCUGGCGCGUUCCACCCUGCUCUUGAUCCCUCUGUUUGGGAUCCACUACACUGUGUUCGCCUUCUCACCCGAAGACGUCAGCAAGAGGGAGAGGCUGGUGUUUGAGCUAGGCCUAGGCUCCUUCCAGGGCUUCGUUGUGGCUGUUCUCUACUGCUUUCUGAAUGGAGAGGUGCAGUCGGAGAUCAAGAGGAAAUGGCGCAGCUGGACGGUGAACAGGUACUUUGCUGUGGACCUGAAGCACCGGCACCCUUCGUUGGCCAGCAGUGGGGUGAACGGGGGAACGCAGCUCUCCAUCCUCAGCAAGAGCAGCUCUCAGAUCCGCAUGUCCAGCCUACAGGCCGAGUCGCCAGCCACCUAAGCCACCUGAACUUCAACGGUGAAGCCCAGGGCCAGAGCCAGGGAGAGACCACCACCACUACUACUACUACUACUACUACUACUACUUCUAUCACCCCUACACCAAGACCCAUCAGCCACUUCCACACUGGACCUGAUACUAUGACCAACCUAACCCCAACACCCAACCUCACCCCUAUACCCACACCCAACCACGGACCACUACCAGUGACCAGCCUCACCAACCCAUACCCUUUCCCCAACCCAUAUCCAGACACCACCAACCCAUACCCAGAGACAACCAACCCGUACCCUGACACAACCCUGAUCCUGGACUCUGGAGAACGCAUCCCGGACCCUCCUAACUGCACUGCACCCAAAAGCCCAACUGAGCCCUUCAUAUAACGAACUGGAUCAACAACUCAAUCCUAAUAAAGCCAUGCCGAAUCAAUCACACCUAAACAAACCCAAUCCCUAGCCCUAUCCAAACUAACCAAUCCAAACUAAUCCAACCCCAAGCCCUAUUCAAACUAACCUACCCAAUACAAUCCAAACAAACCCAACCCCAAACCCUAUUCAAACUAACCUACCCAAUACAAUCCAAACUAACCCAACCCCUAGCCCUAUCCAAACUAACCUACCCAAUACAAUCCAAACGAACCCAACCCCAAACCCUAUUCAAACUAACAUACCCAAUAUAAUCCAAACUAACCCCUCGCCCUAUCCAAACUAACCCAACCCCUGACGCUAUUCAAACUAACCUACACAAUACAAUCUAAACUAACCCAACCCCUAGCCCUAUCCAAACUAACCCAACCCCUAACGCUAUUCAAACUAACCUACCCAAUACAAUCCAAACUAACCCAACCCCUAACGCUAUUCAAACUAACCUACCCUAGCCCUAUCCAAACUAACGCAACCCCUAGCCCUAUCUAAACUAACCCAACCCCUAACCCUAACCAAACUAACCAAACCCUAGCCCUAUCCAAACUAACCCAACCCCUAGCCCUAGCCAAACUAACCAACCCAAUACAAGCCAAACUAACCCAACACCUUGCCCUAUCCAAACUAACCCAACCCCUAGCCCUAUCUAAACUAACCCAACCCCUAACCCUAACCAAACUAACCAACCCAAUACAAUCCAAACUAACCCAACCCUUAACCCUAUUCAAACUAACAACCCAAUACAAUCCAAACUAACCAAACCCCUAGCCCUAUGCAAACUAACCCAACCCCUAGCCCUAUCCAAACCAACCAACCCAAUACAAAUCCAAACUAACCCAAGCCCUAGCCCUGUCCAAACUAACCCAACCCAAUACAAUUCAAACUAACCCAACCCAAUGCAAUCCAAACUAACCCAGCCCCUAGCCCUAUCCAAAACAACACCAACCCAUUAGAAUCCAAACUAACCCAAUCCCUAACCCUAGUCCUGUUUAUGCCAACCCUGUAACUGCCUAAUUAGCCUAUUUUUGUCUGUAUUUGAAGGAAUUUUCUGACUUUAUUGAACAGGUAAAUGAUGCUAGUGGUGAAAGAUGUAGGUUGAGCAGAACUGAUUCAAACCCAUGCCGAUAACCAAUCCAACCCAUCCAUAUCCAACCUAACACAACACCUAGUCCUAUUCCUAACCAAACCCCAACCCACCGCUAUCCAAACUAACCCAACACCUAGUCCUUAGCAAUUCAACUCAUCCAUACCUAAACUAACCUGACUCCUAUUUCUAUCCAAACCAGCCUAUCACUAUGUAAACUAACCCAGCCAGCCCUGACUUAACCUACUCCAACAUUAAAACCCAACUCUACCAGACAGGAACAGAACACCUAACACCUCACCAGCAGCACCUGUUCACGAGCAGUUGUAGGUGAAUCCACCUUUAAACUGAUACAACUACAGUGUCUCCAUCAUGGAGCAAACCACCGUCAGUGUUAGUGGCCUAGCAGUGAAUGUCAAUCACCAUUCAGAAACCAUCAGACAAGGAUCUUUACAAGGAAGGCAGAAGGCUAUGAAGGAAAAGCAUGGUUAAUGGUCUGUACAUAUCAUCAUGGUAUUAUGUCAAAAAGAUUCCCCUCGUUAGGUUUAUCACGUAGAGCAGGAGAGGUGGCCCAGUGCUGCUGGAGCAUCCAUGUAAUACCACCGGUCAUUGCAAUCAUAUCAUCAUGUCCGAAGAUUGACAAUAAGUAUUUAACGACUCCUGCUCCUCUCUUUCCUCAGUCUGUCUUUCAGCUUGUUACAGACUCAAGUUAAGACUGUGUUUUGUUGUUCUGGGUAUUGUUGUUGUUAUGGCAACUCACUUACGGAGCAGUAACAAAACCAUAAAGCCUCUAUCAGAGUACAAAAUGUGCAUAUGUACGCACAGCAGUGUUCUAGAAUAUCGGACCGUUGGCUUUCAUACUUUUUGAAUUCUCAGUAGAGCACUUUGGUUGGGAAUUUUGGCACGGUGCGCGUUCGGGCUGUGCAUCCCCCGCGAAUUGUGGUCUCAGAGCCACGUAGCUACAGUCUGUCACAAUGAGAUGCCGGACUAUCGCGUCACUAAGUCUGUGGCCGGACUAUCGGGUCACUAAGUCUGUGGCCGGACUAUCGUGUCACUGAGUCUGUUUGACUCUGAAUUAAGCUUUACACGUCCUGUACAGGAGAAGCAACCAACCGGCCAAUCGAGACAGACUGACCUAAUGUAAAUACUUAUCAGCUGACCAAUCAGGUUGCAAGUGUGAGCCUGUUUGUAGAGGGCAUAGAUUUAGAUAGACAUUGCAUCUUUGUAUCUGUCCCACUAUGGCAUCUGUGAGAGAAAAGGCAACACCAUUGAGACCAUGUCCAGUUUGAAGUAGUCACUUUACUAGUUUACUACUUCUAUGAGUUGGCAAACAAACUGAAAGGGUGCAUACUGUGAUCUGGACUAUUAUUUGAACAGGUAUAAAUGUUGCCGAUUUACUGCCACCUGCAGUUAUGGAAUGUUUGCUCACAAGAAUAAUUAAUAGGCUGGUCCCUCCUGAUGACCUGCAUAGAAUUAUGGGAUCCUUUCUUAACCCAUAGGAAGUUCCACCCAGUUGACUACUUAAAAAUGGUGAAAGUCCCCAAUGGCACUGCCCAUGCUAAAAAAGGCUUUUGGGCACUAGUGUUGUCUAUCUAAGUCUAUGGUAGAGGGAGAAUGAUCAUGUGAGGUUACUGUAAAAUAAUGAACAGUGAAAGGACACAAAAUGGAGGCUAACACACUGCAUCAUGGGAUACUAUUCAGGCCUGGAGACUCACGCCAGGAUCAAGGCAAAAUAAAUGAUUACUGGACCAACAGUAGAAACAAUAUCUCUUAAAAUAUGAAGAUAAGAGUCAACCACGACCAGAAGUAGAGCAUCAUAGUGCUUUGUAUGACCGUAUAUGACGUCAACAGCUAUGUGUCAGCCAAUGGAACAGGCCACCUUUACCUGUGUAAGCUGUGAUUGGUGGAGUGACAGGAAGAUGAUGAUGUUACUUCCUCCUUGUUAUAUGUACCACUGUUACUAGAGAUUGAGGAAUUCUUCCCACUGGGCACACACUAGUUGAAUCAAUGUUGUUUCCAUGUAAUUUCAAUUAAAUUAUGUUGAACCAAAGUGGAAUAGACGUUGAAUUGACGUCUGUGCCCAGUGUGAUUCUUCUGAGGAAGACAGAUGACAUGGGUAAAACCAGUAUUUAUGUGAAAGGUAUAUUUUCUACAGUUCAAUUAUGAGGAAUGAAAUGCCAAAAAUAAAACAUCCGUUAAGGUAAGAUGGUCAUCUAUUUUAGAAGUUAUUUUAGAAGGAUGAACAAUGCUAAGGUUUGCCAACUACGACCAUUACACACCAAACCUCUUUAAAUCUUAGCAUUGCUUAUGAUGAGAAGAUGCCUUGGUUCAUUUCGGGAGAGGAUCGAUAUUGCCACUAGUUUUAAACAGCCGGUAGUACAGAAAAUGUCAACGACAACUUACUCAUGAAUGGGUAUCAUGAGUUCAAUGUAUAACUGUGUUACACUGUCUGCAUGAAUUGUAUUUUUCUUUCUUCUUUUGAAUCUGUUUACAAUUGUUUUGUGAGAUUAUUACUGUACCUGAUGCUGAAAAGGCAAUGCAGUCCAAUCUAGAUUUUACUUAGUUUCUUCAGCAGUCUCUCAGCUAGCUUCAAUUUGUAUAUCUAACAAAAUAGAUAACUUAGACCGACAGAAAGUAUUUUACCACAUUGAGUUUUGAUAAACACCUUCCUGAAUUGUGUUUUUUUAAAGUAUUAUUUUGGGGUAUUUCUCUCAUUCCAAAGAUGAACACUAGACUCCACACUGAGUUUGCACGGCCGUAUACAUUUGCAAAGGCUGAGUAAAAGCUUUGCAACUGAUGUCACUACAGAUUUGAUCCUUUGGUCUGAUUUAACUAUUUUUAUUCUAUAUUCUAAUCCCAUGUUAAUCCUAAUCCCAUGUUAAUCUCUCCUAGUAUACUUUAGUCUCCAAAGUGCCUUUAUGCACAAAACGGCAAGUAUUUCUGUUAAUCUGAGAUUUUUUUUAGACAUUCUUUUUUAAACGAAACUGCAAAGUAUGUAAAAACAUGUGGUCAACAAAAGUGCUUUUAUGAUGUUACACUGAAUCAGUAUUUUAUUAACCUGGAGGCCUUUGAAGUACCUAGAGCUCAUUUCUGGUUUAAGAUGGGCGUAACCUAUGAACUUUAACCUACGACCUAUAACCUACGACCUAUAACCUAUGACCGAUUACCUUUUGAAAUAAGCCACUUUUAUUUUGAGUAAAUAUCUACUAUGGUCUAUCUAUAUCAUAUACACAAUAAUAGGUAUGAUUGAUUGACUCUGUUCUAUUUUACAGCAUUCAGUCCUUUAUACUCAUAAUAUUUUUUGUAUAUCAAAAUAAUGGGACACUGGUUGAUUUAAUUAAGUGACUGUGCACCGUUUGUGACUGCAGGCAAAUGCUGUGCUUUUUAACUGGAGAGAAAGAUAAAAAAAUAUAUAUAUAUAUAUAUAUUCUCAAUUUGGUUUGGUCACGUACAGUACGAAUAAUUGCCUUUUCUCAAACUGAAACGGAAAAAAAACAACGUUUUGUCAUAUUAUUUGAUUUACUUGUCGAUGUACUGUAUACUAUAAACUAUAGAUAAUGCAACAAUGCAUAUCUGUAAACAGUGUGUUAGCGUGUCAAACGUUUGAUGAACAGUUGAGGACUCCACAACUCCCCAGCCCACCUGAAAAAGCACAGCUCUUUAACAGUACUAUCUGAUCAGAAACACAAAACUUCCUGUUAGGAAUAGUUUCCCAUUGUUCAUUAAAGAAGCAUAUAGAGGCUGGUUGAGAUGAAGAAGAAUGACAAGGAGGACAGACAGAAUGCAGUAAUGUGCUGUGUUUUUCUUAGGUCUGGACCUGUCUUUAGCACUCCUACUCUUGAGAUGCUUUACACUGGCCUUUAAUAUGGGUCCAUCCAUGCGUGUGCGAAUACAGAUGGCCAAAAGGUGUCCCUGUUUCACUGUGAAACAGGUUGGACAAUCAGAAAAAGAUGAUCUGCUUUUGGUUUCCACACCAAGUUGAAUGUUUAGCAGGAGUUCCUUAUUAAAACCAUAAUGACAGUCUAAGCAUGUCAUGAGCCAAUUUUAAGAGUAUGAAUACCUUUUCAAGAGUAUUUAUGUUAUGAAAUAUAAAAAAAAUACAUAGCCUUAUAUCGCCGGUCAAUGUGAUGUCAAUUAGAGAUGUAAUCAUUCUAAGAAUACAGUAUAUUGUUUAUUAAAUCUGUUGUUAUAAUAAAUAAUGAAGUAGUUAUCUACAUACAUGUACAGUAGUUUAGAUGUGUCCCAAAUUGCACCCUUUUCUCUAAUCCUUGUAUAGUGUACUACUUUUGACCAGGGCCCAUAGGGACAAAGUUAUGCACUAAAUAGGGAAUUGGGUGCCAUUUGGAAUGGAGACUGUGUUUUACAAAUAUGUGUAGUCUACCAUUGUGGCUUAUAAAUGGUCAAACUGAAUUGUGCCGUUUCAUUGUGUAAGACAGUAUCUCGUAGAUGGAGUCGUCCGUGGUGCAAAGUGAAUAUUAGCAGUCAUUAGAGUUUUUCUCCGUGGUUGUUAUCAUUUUAGUAUUAUUUUGGUGAUAGUGAUUGUUCAAAUAUGAAGCAUAUUGUAUUGCUACCUAUAAUCUCUUGUAGACUGAUGCAUGCAUCUCUUGAUGGUUUGAUCCCUUUCACCAAGCUGUGUUGAUUAUUCUGCAGAUGAAAUCUUACUGGGAGAUGAUGGAACCUUUUAUCGACAUGUUUUUAACAGUUCACAGAAUUAACAGAAUUCUGAGUGUGACAUUCGUUUUACUGCAUUCUGAUCAUGUAGUCAGCUAUUUCAAGGAAAAAGCAGCUCCAAGGAAGGAAAAUACAAUGGUGUUCAAUAGUGAAUAAUUAUUUUAAACUAUUUAACCAGAAAGGGGCAUAGGGUUAGAAAGCCAUCCACUAAAAUGUGAAUAAUAUUUUUCUGUUUGAAAACAGAGUUGCUGGUCAAUUGUCAUUAAGAAGGGGCAUUUUAAAACAUCUAUGAUCGGGCCUAGUCACAACCACCCUGUUCAUUCAAUUUCUAUUGAAUGUUAAUACGUUUUAGAGUCCUUUGACAUGAGGGUAAUUGCUAUACUACAUUUCUAAAUAAAUAGCCAAUACCUUGUAUAGUUUCCAACCAUCACAAGAUGACAUUUAGAAAGCUGGCUCUGUUUUGGAUGGAAAAGAGACAACAGGGCUGUGUUCAGCAGGGCACCAUGUUGUGGAACACUCAGACAGAAAUACAUCAUGUAACUUUGAAAUGUAAAGUAAUGUAAGGACUCACGUCAGCUCUAUUCAUGACAUUUCUUUCUGCAACGUUCCACAUUUGCCUACCUAACAUAGCCCAGGACAAAGGUACUGUACACUGAAUGUAAUGUAACUGUUGUAUCUGUGGUCUGAAGGGUUGGGCUCAAUUACAUUUCAAUUCAGUCAAUGCCAGAAGCAAACAAACAUUUUCUCAAUGCUUUUUAAUGAAAAACAAAUGGAAUUAAGAGUUUCAGUUUGAAUUUAAAUGGAAUUUGCCACAAUUCUGGUGAUCUGACCACUGCCUGCUUCAGUCUGUUUUUAAACUCAUGUUUUCAUUUGAUCUUCUGUUUCACCGCUGCGCUGUAUAAAUGUCUUCUUGUUUUGAUGUAUAUAUUAAAACAGAGGUAGGAAACCCUGUUCUUGGUGUGCCGCAGGUACAGCAGGAUUUUGAUCCAUCUAGGCACCACGCUGGACCAACUGAGCUUAUUGAUCCGUUCAGUUAUUGGACUAAAUUCAACACACCUGGUCUUCCAGGUUAAAUCAAAAACAUGAAGUGCCUGUGGCUCUCCAGGACCAGAGUUGCCUACCCCUGGAAUAAAGAGGUUUUGUACAUUAUUAUUGAAUUAUUGACUUUAAGUCGCAAUAAAUGUUUUGGACUUGUUGACUCAUUGA